rnacentral:rRNA from 1 species
GAUGAACGCUGGCGGCGUGCUUAACACAUGCAAGUCGAACGGUGAAGGCGGAGCUUGCUCUGCUGGAUCAGUGGCGAACGGGUGAGUAACACGUGAGCAAUCUGCCCCUGACUCUGGGAUAAGCGCUGGAAACGGCGUCUAAUACUGGAUACGAGCUGCGAAGGCAUCUUCAGCAGCUGGAAAGAACUUCGGUCAAGGAUGAGCUCGCGGCCUAUCAGCUUGUUGGUGAGGUAACGGCUCACCAAGGCGUCGACGGGUAGCCGGCCUGAGAGGGUGACCGGCCACACUGGGACUGAGACACGGCCCAGACUCCUACGGGAGGCAGCAGUGGGGAAUAUUGCACAAUGGGCGAAAGCCUGAUGCAGCAACGCCGCGUGAGGGACGACGGCCUUCGGGUUGUAAACCUCUUUUAGCAGGGAAGAAGCGAAAGUGACGGUACCUGCAGAAAAAGCGCCGGCUAACUACGUG